CUUUCCCUCUUUCUUCCUGCUUUACACAUGCAAGUCGGACGGCAGCACAGAGAAGCUUGCUUCUUGGGUGGCGAGUGGCGAACGGGUGAGUAAUAUAUCGGAACGUACCGAGUAAUGGGGGAUAACUAAUCGAAAGAUUAGCUAAUAACGCAUAUUCUCUGAGGAGGAAAGCAGGGGACCUUCGGGCCUUGCGUUAUUCGAGCGGCCGAUAUCUGAUUAGCUAGUUGGUGGGGUAAAGGCCUACCAAGGCGACGAUCAGUAGCGGGUCUGAGAGGAUGAUCCGCCACACUGGGACUGAGACACGGCCCAGACUCCUACGGGAGGCAGCAGUGGGGAAUUUUGGACAAUGGGCGCAAGCCUGAUCCAGCCAUGCCGCGUGUCUGAAGAAGGCCUUCGGGUUGUAAAGGACUUUUGUCAGGGAAGAAAAGGCUGUUGCUAAUACCGACAGCUGAUGACGGUACCUGAAGAAUAAGCACCGGCUAACUACGUG
rnacentral:rRNA from 1 species